UACGUAGGGCGCGAGCGUUGUCCGGAAUUAUUGGGCGUAAAGAGCUCGUAGGCGGUGUGUCGCGUCGGCCGUGAAAACCUGCAGCUUAACUGUGGGCGUGCGGUCGAUACGGGCAUCACUGGAGUUCGGCAGGGGAGACUGGAAUUCCUGGUGUAGCGGUGAAAUGCGCAGAUAUCAGGAGGAACACCGGUGGCGAAGGCGGGUCUCUGGGCCGAUACUGACGCUGAGGAGCGAAAGCGUGGGGAGCGAACAGG
rnacentral:rRNA from 1 species